GAUGAAGAACGUAGCGAAAUGCGAUACUUGGUGUGAAUUGCAGAAUCCCGUGAACCAUCGAGUCUUUGAACGCAAGUUGCGCCCGAAGCCAUUAGGCCGAGGGCACGCCUGCCUGGGCGUCACACGUCGUUGCCCCCCCCAUCUACUCCUUCGGGAUUGCGGGGGGCGGAUGAUGCCCUCCCGUGCGCCUCGCCGCGCGGUUGGCAUAAAUGCCAAGUCCUCGGCGACGCACGCCACGACAAUCGGUGGUUGCGAAACCUCGGUUGCCCGUCGUGUGCGGUCGUCGCGCAUCGAGGGCUCGAAAAAAUUGCCGAGUUCCGGCUCGGCUUUCAACGCGACCCCAGGUCAGGCGGGGUUACCCGCUGAAUUUAAGCAUAUCAAUAAGCGGAGGA
rnacentral:misc_RNA from 1 species